CAGGGAAACAAGGGAUGACAGACACAGGGAGUGGGACCUGCUCUGAGCCCUAAGAUUUCCACAGAAAAGAUCUCCUUUAGCUUACUCAGCCAAUCAUUGAUUAAUCCACGAGCUCACUCGCUGACCAGAGUGAAAUGAUUGGAUUUCCCCUCUUCCCACCUGACUCGGAGCAGGGAUUGCAGGGCUGAGUCUUGGUCUGAAGAGGAGAAGACCAGGAGGUGAAGCAGCCUGCAGGUAUUGGAGAAGG